UGGAAGUAUUCACUAGAUAUUCACCAGCGUCCUUUGGCUCCUUUUGUCCAAGUCCAGACCACGUGCAGCAUUCCACCGGGACAGACGUGCGCUCACCUGAAGAUGUGCCUCUCACCUCCUUCUAUCCAAGAAAGAUGGCCCAGAAGAAGAGUUUACAGUAUGAAGAUAAAUGCUAUCAACAACACUGGAUCCUAGCUGUGCAUCCCUCUGAGACAAGAGCUCACCAUCUUUCCUGCUGCUGCCUGGGCCAUGUCAGUCUGCCUACCCCAUCCUCCCUGUGUCCCCAGCAGCUCCUGGGGAGCAUGUGCUGCACAAGGAACAAGAGGCCCUAAUGCAGCGGCCAACCCAAGGCCCUGUCACACAUCCAUGCUCAGUGCAGUUGUGUCGGUGCUGGCACCUGGCCCUGAGGGCAGGGAGCCCUGUGCCAGCCAUGAGCUCUGCGCCAGGAUGUUCUCCUCCAGGCACUCUGCUGGCGUCGCUGUGCUCAGGGCUGCCAAAGCUGCCUGCACGAACAAACACAGAGCUCUGGAACUGCCACCUGGCUGUCUCUCGAGCUCUCUUCUUUUAUUUAUCUCGGUAGCAGCAGCAGCCAAGGUUUGGAGCAGGCUGUGGCAUCAGGAGCUGGAGAAUCGCAGGAACAUCACUGGGCUCAGGCAGACGUCAUCUGGGUUUACAACAGAGGUCUGCAGAACAGCAAACAGAAGACACUACUGAGCAGCCUUCCCUCCAUUUGUGCUUCAUCGAAAUAUUUGGUCUGAUUCGGUUAGUCUCAUGGGAAAGGCAAUUUUACAUUAGAUUUUCAUGAUUUUUUUUCUUUGUAUCACUGUGCUGAAUAAACAGGAGCUUCACAACUCA
ensembl:lncRNA